rnacentral:rRNA from 1 species
UACGUAGGGUGCAAGCGUUAAUCGGAAUUACUGGGCGUAAAGCGAGCGCAGGCGGUUUGUUAAGCCAGAUGUGAAAUCCCCGGGCUCAACCUGGGAACUGCGUUUGGAACUGGCAAGCUAGAGUGUGUUAGAGGGGGGUAGAAUUCCACGUGUAGCAGUGAAAUGCGUAGAGAUGUGGAAGAACACCUGUGGCGAAAGCGGUUUUCUAGCUUACACCUGACGCUGAGGCGCGAAAGCAAGGGGAGCAAACAGG